UGCCAAAGAUCUGCGCGAUAGAUAUGCU
rnacentral:sRNA from 1 species